GCUCUGGAGAAACCCGAAAGGGGGCCGAAGGUGUAAGGCGCGAAAGCGUCGAUCUCUCAGGCAAAAGGACAGAGUGGAA
rnacentral:ncRNA from 1 species